GUCGAACUCACCCCCGCAGGGGUGAGUGGGCCGAUCCCGGAGGUAGUGCAAUACCGGGCCAACCCGUGGCGGAGGUGAAGCAAGCUUCAAGCACUCCGCCGCAUCACAAAAAUAAGUUUAAUAUCUUGGAUCCAAAUAGGAUCCGUAUCAGAUAUUAAGCUGAUAAGAACAGAGGUUUUCAAAAAUGUUAGGAACAUUUCUGACCGAAAAGGAAAAACUUGUUCUCAUUUUUUGUUCCUUCAACCAGAAAGGAAGAAGGUGGUGUAUAGUGAACUGUGUAGAAAGAGAGAAGGUGAAAUAG